rnacentral:rRNA from 1 species
UGCAAUGAGAAGUGUACUAAGGUAGCGUGAUAAUUUGUCCUUUAAUUGAGGACUGGUAUGAAUGGUUUGACGUGUAAUUGCUUUUUUUACAUAAGUUUUACGAAAUUUCCUUUUAGUGUGAAAAGGCUUAAAUUUUUGAAAAAGACGAGAAGACCCUGUCGAACUUGAUUAGAAUUAUUGUUUUGAGUAGAAUCAGCAUAAUAUAUUCAGAAAUUUUAUUGGGGCAAUAUUGGCUUAAAAAACAGCUUAAAUUAAACAAAGAUCCUUUAAGGAAGAAAUUUGGCAGAAGUUACCGCAGGGAUAACAGCGUUAUUUUUCCUGAGAGAUCGAAUUGAGGGAAAAGUUUGCGACCUCGAUGUUGGAUUAUA